rnacentral:rRNA from 1 species
UAGUGGCAGACGGGUGAGUAAUGCGUAGGAAUCUACCUAGUAGUACGGAAUAGCCAUUAGAAAUGGUGGGUAAUACUGUAUAAUCCCCGAGGGGGAAAGAUUUAUCGCUAUUAGAUGAGCCUACGUUAGAUUAGCUAGUUGGUGAGGUAAUGGCUUACCAAGGCUAUGAUCUAUAGCUGGUCUGAGAGGACGAUCAGCCACACUGGAACUGAGAUACGGUCCAGACUCCUACGGGAGGCAGCAGUGGGGAAUAUUGGACAAUGGGCGAAAGCCUGAUCCAGCUAUGCCGCGUGAGUGAAGAAGGCCUUCGGGUUGUAAAACUCUUUCAAUAGGGAAGAUAAUGCCGGGU